GAUACAAGGGUCGAAAGUUCAAUAUGCCGUUCAUGCUUGCAUGAAAAGGCAUUUGAAUUUGAGACCCGCACACACAUGAGCAAGUAGUGAUUUUCUCUUGAGAAAAUCCACGGAUUGCGAAUGUGGGUAGAAUUGCGGGAGUUGCUCCGCAACGGAGCAAUUCGU
rnacentral:sRNA from 1 species